rnacentral:rRNA from 1 species
GAUGAACGCUGGCGGCGUGCCUAAUACAUGCAAGUCGAGCGAACGGACGAGAAGCUUGCGUCACUGAUGUUAGCGGCGGACGGGUGAGUAACACGUGGAUAACCUACCUAUAAGACUGGGAUAACUUCGGGAAACCGGAACUAAUACCGGAUAAUAUUUUGAACCGCAUGGUUCAAAAGUGAAAGCCGGUCUUGCUGUCACUGAUGGCUGGAUCCGCGCUGCAUUAGCUAGUUGGUAAGGUAACGGCUUACCAAGGCAACGAUGCAUAGCCGACCUGAGAGGGUGAUCGCCCACACUGGAACUGAGACACGGUCCAGACUCCUACGGGAGGCAGCAGUAGGGAAUCUUCCGCAAUGGGCGAAAGCCUGACGGAGCAACGCCGCGUGAGUGAUGAAGGUCUUCGGAUCGUAAAACUCUGUUAUUAGGGAAGAACAUAUGUGUAAGUAACUGUGCACAUCGUGACGGUACCUAAUCAGAAAGCCACGGCUAACUACGUG